rnacentral:rRNA from 1 species
AACGAACGCUGGCGGCAUGCCUAACACAUGCAAGUCGAACGAUGCCUUCGGGCCUAGUGGCGCACGGGUGCGUAACGCGUGGGAAUCUGCCUUUCGGUUCGGAAUAACUCAGGGAAACUUGAGCUAAUACCGGAUAACGUCGCAAGACCAAAGAUUUAUCACCGAAAGAUGAGCCCGCGUAGGAUUAGCUAGUUGGUGAGGUAAAGGCUCACCAAGGCGACGAUCCUUAGCUGGUCUGAGAGGAUGAUCAGCCACACUGGGACUGAGACACGGCCCAGACUCCUACGGGAGGCAGCAGUGGGGAAUAUUGGACAAUGGGCGAAAGACUGAUCCAGCAAUGCCGCGUGAGUGAUGAAGGCCUUAGGGUUGUAAAGCUCUUUUACCCGGGAAGAUAAUGACGGUACCGGGAGAAUAAGCCCCGGCUAACUCCGUG